AUCUCUAAAUAGCAAGCCCCCACUACAAGGAUUUCUCUGUGAUUUCGUGCAGCCACGUCACAUGUUAGCUUCAGCAGUCAUUGUUUUGCGCCAGUGAGCCACGCCUAGACCUUCUCGCGGAGAAAAGAAACGCCUGGACUGAUAAUUCCAUUCUCUCCCUCACCAAUUCGGCCUUUAUUCCUCUUGAAGUCUUCAAUCUGCAAGAUCUCCGAGGGAGGCGAGCGGUCCGCGACCCACCACUUGGGCCUCUUUGUCUUCAAUCUGCGUGGGCGCUAAAGAAUUAUCUCCUCUUCAAUCUUUGAGGGAGGAGAGCAAUCCACCGUCCCACCACUUCCGCCUUUUUCUCUAUGAUCGAUUGAUCGCGCGGUCUCUUCAUCUGCCCUUUGAGCUGCAAGGUCACAAAGGAAAGCCAGGGGAGAGUACGCCCAGUCGGCAGAUCACAGGAAACCCCAUUCCAAGGUGAGUUUAUCUGGCCUUGACUUGAUUUCCCCCAUUUUAUUUGGGGUUGUGCAGGAAAGGGUGGACUGCAUGCUGGAGAAGAUUGAUCUGCUCAUCAGAAUGGUCAUCUCUAUUUUGACUUCAAGGAGAAUGAAUCCAUCGCCAAAUGUAUUUUGUUAUCUUUUCAUAAUAUUUUUCUAAGUUUUUCUUAUGUUUAUGGUCGGAUUUUCAUAGUUGGUUUGAGUGGUGAGAAUCUACUGGGGUAGAACAGCAAAUCAAUUGUUUGCUGAAUCAAUAUUCAGAUUGGAAAUCAUUCAGUGAUUUUGCUGGUACUGUUCUUAAGUUCUCCUCUGAUGCGUCCAUUAAGCUCGAAGGUAAUCGUCGCCGCCGGCCGGCCGGUAAUUUCUUUGCUGGUAGCAAUAAUUCCAUUGCACGAUGGUCAAGUGCCCCUCUUUAAUAUUCAGUUCAUCUCCUUACCUAGUUGUAUAUCACUGUAUGCUGAAUAGCGAGUUGGUUUCAGUAAGUGAGUACGCAAUGGGUUUUGAUUUUAAUUCAUUCACCUCUAUUAAUUCUGCUGACUGCAGGGAAUGUUCAUACGCAAGCAAGACUAAACCUUUGCGCAGUUGCGAACGACUAGGUUGGUUAGAUGUUAUGAUCAGUCAUUGCAUGACUAUUCUCCCACUUUUAUUUCAGAUUCCUCUUCAAUACUGUUUAAUUUGAUUUCAAGUCUUUUCAGCUCUUGCAUGUAUCAUACAUUUUUCAACUUUGGAAAGCUGAAAUCUACAUCUUGCCACUCUCCAUCUCAUGGAAGCUAUAUUUCUGUUUACUUUCUCCCAAUAAGUUACUUUCAUAUGGUAAGUAAAUACCAGACCACACAAAUAUCUCUUCCUUAUUCAUGCUUGACAGAAUUUUCCACGUUCAAACUUUAAUUUGUAGAUGCAUUACUUUGUACAUUCCAUGUUCUUCUGUUGAAUGUAGAUAAUUUUCAAGGUUCUGGAUGGAUCAUAAAUAAAGCUUCAUCAAUAAUAUUAUCCCCUAUGUGUUCAUGAGCUUUGGUUAAUUCUCUUGAAGUAUGGUGAGUUACAGCAGCUGUGCAUUAUCUAUGUAUGAUUGAGCCUAUCAGAUUCUAUAAGUCGGCACUACUUUCUUUUUGCUGCAGAAUUUUUUUGGGCAAUCUGUUUCAGUCCAUAUUCAUUUAUUUCUGUUCUAAACUACAAUAGGGGUUUGCAUUUAAAGGUUGCAAAUACUGACACCAAGGCAAAAUUAGUUGCUCGGUUUCUUCAAAAGCUUUUAUAUGUCAUGAUAUUUCGUAGUUUGGUAUGCUUAAAAUGGAGACCAAGAGGAGAGCUUUGCGAGGAGAACAAAUGUCUACAUAUACUCAAUGUGAACUUCUGAAGGUGUUUACUGGCACAUUUUUAAAAUAAUGCACACUUCCAUUUGAACAUCUUGAUUAAGUAAUUUGGUUGAUUUCGGUGACAGCUGUACAUUGCGAGCUGUAACUAUUUAUAUAUGUGUAUUUCUGUACCGUAAGAAAAUUUAGAUUUCAGUAAUACACAACCAAUGUAUCACAAGUAAUUUAUA